CGCGCGUGAUAUACUCAAUACUGAUGGCAAAAAUAACAAAUUUAUUAAUUAAAAGUUAAGUGUGAUUUAGGUAAUUUAUUUUGUCAUGAUUUAAUAAAAGGCUUUGCUAUUGCUGUUUUGCUGGAUUUCUUUUUUGUUGAAUAAAGUCGAAGCUGUGGAUCUAUUUUCCUUUGAACAUUGACUUCUUCAACUGUUUUUAAGUGUGCUUGUCCUCCUUCGCUCAUUAUUGCUAUAAUUUCUGCCAACUUUUUUUCAAUUUUUUGUAAGUUUUCAUUACUAUAUUCAUUUGUUGAACUCAGACCUAAAAUAAUUUCUGUUUGGCUUAUGAUUGUUUGAUUUUUGUGAGCUUUAUGAUGACUAGAAGUUGCAACCAUAUCCAUUACCUUUUUUUGCUCUGUCGUAUUUGAGUAGUACGAAACAGUGUGUUCAGUAUUGUCGUCUAAACUUAUAAACUCACGAGCACAAGCAUGUAUGUGUUUACAAAUAUUUGCUUUAAUAACAUUAUCAAUGCAAGUGCAAUGAAAGGUGUGAAUGCAAAUAUCACACUUUAUGCUCAUCGGAUCGAUUUGAUAAACAAAAUGCAACUGGGCAACCAGAUCCAAAUUCAUCUACAGUGACAACAGUAUACAAUUGAAUGUCAUAUGCAUUAGUUCCAUGCACUAGAUGACAUGAUGCUCAGCUGUUAAGAUACAAACAAAAAUAAAAUACUAGCUAAAUGAAAAUCACAAUAAGUAUAAACACCUAUGUCAGCCUGAGAUUAAUAACUUAUUUUUAGAAGAUUUAUGACUUGGAAAUUUCUUGUUAUUAUGUAUUAUUUUAAAUGUUCAAAUAUUUUAUAUAGCAAUCAAUGAUAUUGUAUUUGGAGUUGAAUAAAAUAAAUGUCAUAUAUCUAAAUAUGUAUACACAAGUAACUAGGAACAUUUCCUAUUUCUAAUAUUUAUAAAAAUGAAAAUAAUAAAAUACAUUGUAUUUAUUUAAA